rnacentral:rRNA from 1 species
UACGUAGGGCGCAAGCGUUAUCCGGAAUUAUUGGGCGUAAAGAGCUCGUAUGCGGUUUGUCGCGUCUGCCGUGAAAGUCCGGGGCUCAACUCCGGAUCUGCGGUGGGUACGGGCAGACUAGAGUGAUGUAGGGGAGACUGGAAUUCCUGGUGUAGCGGUGAAAUGCGCAGAUAUCAGGAGGAACACCGAUGGCGAAGGCAGGUCUCUGGGCAUUAACUGACGCUGAGGAGCGAAAGCGUGGGGAGCAAACAGG